rnacentral:sRNA from 1 species
AAGGAAGUAAAAUGGCGGACCUGGCGAACGAAGAGGUCAGCUGGCGGCUCCAGUCCUGAAGGCGGAGAAGAUUCUGACAGAGAAGAUGGAAAUUACUGCCCUCCUGUCAAGCGAGAAAGAACGUCCUCUUUAACCCAGUUCCCACCCUCACAGUCAGACAUCUGUAGUGGUGCCAAGAUUCUUCCUGGCCACAGCCGCGUCCUCUGACAGACAAGCCUUCUAGGAAAGGGAAGUAGGGCCUGAGCGCCUGUGUUCCGUGGCUCCCUGACAUUCUCCAGAGCCAGAGGAAAGGAGCAGUGGCUUCCGGUUGAAGCCACCAACGCUGAUCCACGGCCAAGCCCCCAGCGCAGGUCUGCCAAGCCAGAAGCCCAAGGAGCAGCAGCGGAGCGUGCUUCGCCCGGCAGUGUUACAAGCUCCGCAGCCAAAGGCGCUGUCCCAGACUGUCCCCAGCAGUGGCACCAACGGGGUCAGCCUCCCAGCAGACUGCACGGGGGCAGUGCCCGCAGCAUCCCCUGACACUGUUG